AGAAGCACCGCCCGCCGAGGAGCGAAACGCCUGCGCGGUGGGGGGCGGGGAGGCGGCCGUUGGGCGCGGCCGCCAUUUUGACUCGCCUCAGCGCGUCCCAGGUUAGGGGUUAAUGCGGGGGUGCGUUGCGAGCCCCAGCUCGGAGGCGGGUACCGGGAGCGGAGCGGAGCGGAUUGAGCAGCGGGGGCUGUAACUGAGGCCCCUUGCUCAGAGCGGUUCCGCCCGCGCGGGAGCGGGGCCGCCCCGCCGGUACCGGCGGCGGGGGCACGGGCCGGUUCGGGCUGCACAAGGGUCUUCUUGUGCUCCCGGCUGCAUUUAGUAAUAAAGCAAAAUCUGGUCGGUUUUGCAGGUUUGGGCUGUGGGACGUUUUAGUCGGGGGCAUACGUGGAGGUGUAUCCAUAGCUCUGUGAAACUGAACUGUAAUGCCAAAAGUGAAGGCUUCAGGAUGGUAAUUGCUAUUCCAACAUGUUUGAUUUAUCUUCCCGUUUUCUUCACCCUCCGUCCCUUUGGAUGUCGGCGGAGUCAGCCUGUUGUGCACACCCCUCCGCCCCCACACUGACAGGGUUGGGAGCAGAGACCUCAUGUGUCCCUGACAUCUUUGAACUCUGUCUUCUUGUGGUUGGGGUUCUUUUUGUUGUUUGGGUUUUCGUUGGUUGGGUGGGUUUUGUUGUUUUUGUUUGUUUGUAUGUGUGUGUGUUGUUUUGUUGCGAAGCUCAUGUACAUUGUGCAUCUGAUGAUUGUAUCUCUACAAUGGUAGUAAGAUAAACUUGUCUCCUAUCUUAAAUAAGGAUGUAAGUACCAGGCUCUCAUCACCUCACUCCUUUUAUGUCUGCCCUGAAGCUGGAACUGAGUGCAGCAAAUGCAGAAAUAUCUGAACUUCUGUUAAUGUAAUGAGCUCAAUAUCAACAAGAGAAAGCUGUAAUUGUUCAAGCUUUGAUGUGUGCAGGUUGCACCUGGAUAAACUGUGAGAGGCUGAGGUGAACUUGUACAGAAGUACUUGCCGCCGUGACCCCAGUUUCAUGUUAUCAACAUGAGAAGUAGGCAAAGAAAACCUAUGGUGAACCCAGAAUGAUACCUCUGCAGAUACUCUCUGUGACUGGGUCGGAGACUGAUGAACUUCAGUGCUUAUUUUCUAAGAUGGGUAUCAACACAAGAUUGGCACUAAUUUCUCCAUCUCUUUAUUUGAAAACCAGUGCUGCCUUUUCGAGGCAGCUUGCAUAUUACUACCAAUAGAAGGUAAAUAAAAGCAAAACAGCUUUGAAGCACUAUAAACUUACUUAUAUGCAAGAGGUAUACUAUUUUGAAGCAUAUGCUGUCACUAAUUCCUUUUUCAGUAUUAACAUUUUCCUUCUGAUUUUGAGAGGGGAUCAAUUCUUCUAUUGGAGCAACCAGAACAGUGUAUUGUCAUAAUGGUAUCCUCAAACCUGGGUCAAAGUUGUUGAGUUCCCAGGGUAAAGAGCAGAACAAAAAUAGACGGUCAUGUAUCCUGUAAGUCUGCAGAUUGACUCCAAAGGCAACAAUUAUAAUCUCAUCUUCAUAAUAUUAUUUAGGCUGAAGGAACUGUUAGAAAAAUCUGCCGCAGGAAAUCUUUCAGCAGCGGCAGAGUGUAGAGCACAGCUGGAAGUUUCAAAUCACGCAAGGACUUAGGUGCUCAAAUACUUUUUGAGUCAGUACUUAUUUAAGGACAGAAUUUUGCCUAACAACCAGAAUACCUUUGAGAUCCCCUUCCAAGUGAUUUAUUUUAGUGGAUAUUUUCCAUUUCCAACCCACAGAUGACUCUUCCUAUUCAUCUGGUAGAUUUCUUGAUAGCCCCUCACAACAAAAUUCUUACUGUUCUUUGCACUGAACAAACACAGAACAACCAGGGUCCCAGCCUAGUAAUAUUAAAAAAAAUACUUUUUAUUGCAUGUAAAUGACUCUAUAACUCGUGGAAAAGGGUACAUAGCACUUCUGCUUGUUGCGAGGUAUUAGCAAAAUCUGACUUUUUGCAUUAACAGUUAGUGUUAGGUCAGUGAAAGCCACCUCCAUCCAAGAUAACAUAGUUCCUGUCUGCAAGUAUUGUGUAUUACUGUUCCUCCAGACUGGGAAAAGCUGAAGGGCUGACAUUAUGUGACUAAGUGCAGCAUCACACCAUUAGCUCUCAGGGAAGCGUGGCAUGUCCCAAUUACUGAAAGGAAACAGAACAGGUACUACCAGGCACAGGAAGUAUAAAUGUGUAACUAAGUGCAAGGGGGACCUUCGGCGCCUUUGUUUUUCAGCUGUGCAAAAUACAAAGUUCAUCCGGGAGGGCACGCUGAAAAACCAAGUCGUCUUGUAAGUAAAUCUUCAAAAGCAUAAGAAGUUAGUUGUGGCACUUGCUGAGCAUGGUUAUCAUCAGUGCUCUGCCACCGAUUCAGAGUCAGCUAAACCUGUAAAAUACUUAAUUUCCUAAAAAUUCUUGGGAGAAAAUCCUGAUGUUUUGCUCAGCAGUGUCUUGCCCGUGGCUGUUGUGCAGAAAUGAAGCACCACACAGAGUGGCCUCAAAUUGGCAACCAGUGUUCACCUAGUGGACAAAAACAUGGAAGUGGUCUAAGAACAGAUCAGUGCUAGAGAUUUUAAUUUUCUGAAAACUUCCAAUUCAAAAGCCUUGUCAUACAAACUCAUACCAGCAGAAUUAUAUAGGCCAAUUUUAUGGUUACUCUGUAAAAAAAGCUUGAAGGGUUUGUGCUCUGUUCUGUCUCGCAGAUUUGUCCAAAAUAUACUACAUAUGACAAAGGAAUGCAGAGUAACAGUCCUUCCUUUGUUCCUGUGGGACAAGGUUGAGUUCAGGAGCAGAAACACAAGCUUCCCUCAUGCAUCUUAUGCCUGUAGGUGUAGGAAAUCAUUCUCUGCUUAGGCUAAGCUUCAGCAGUUUUGCAAUUGAUACAACUUUUAAUUUUUUUAAGAACUAGAUGGGAACAUCUAGAUUGAAUUUCCAUUCAUCAGAAGCCAAGUGUGACACAAGCAGCUUUCAGAGACAGCCAAACUGAGCUGUGCAGCGUGGCUGUGCAGCUCCUUGCCUACCUCAAGAAGCACUUGCCCUGCGGGUCGGCAGUCGGGUACAAGAAGGCAGCGUACGUGGAAGUCUCUCGUCUCAGUCCCUGUCCUCGGUGCAUUCUUUACAGGUGAAGCUCCGCACACCAGGGAAGGAGGGCAGGGAAACCCCUGUUUUGCCACCCAGUCCCUUUGUCUGGGCAGCGUGCUGACCCACUGCCAGCUCUGUUGGCUUUGCUUUUCCUUUUAAUCCCAUUAUCAUCGUAUUAGAACACAGAGGUAGCUCAUAAAACUUACAAGCACUUGCAUAUUAUAAGAGCAGCUUGAAUAACGGGAAAAGGGAUAUUGCAUAAGCCUAAAACGUAUCCGUUAAAUUUAAUUUGUCUUAAACCUCUGGACUCUCAUUGCUACUAGUUUCACAGGUGAUAAAAUAACGUAUGAAAGGCAGAUGACAAAUUUGUUGGGGAUAAUGCUUAAAUAUGCUGGUCCUGGCAGGGAAAGAAUGAGUUACCAGCCAGGAAUCCCGGGCAGACUGGCUGUGCAGGAGCUGCGGUACCUUUCUGUGUGUGCUCACUGCGCACGGCACUCCCCUAAGUCACAGCUCCACGCGCACCUACCGCCGGUGCUGCCACUGACCGGCGCAAAUGCUGCCAAGGACAACGCAGAGGGGCUUGCAUGACAGCAGCAUUCUUUACAUUGGAAACUAAUUCUUUAGCAUAUGCGGAGUUAAUAAUUCAGUUAAUAAUUCACAACUGAAAGGCCUGGCUGAUCAGAUGUAAUUCUUUUAUCAAGCAUCUUCUGUAAACGCAGUGAAAAUAUACUCCUGCUGUAUUUAAGAAAUAACUAAAAAUAAUUUAUGCCUUUCAAAGUUUUAACUACAAAAUUUAAAGCAUGUUCGAUGUUAAUGAACAAAAGUAUUUACCCAAGAACCAUGCAGAACAACUAUUUUCCAUUAUUUCCUGUGUGUAUUUAUGUGGUAUUUUCACUGCACUCUAGUUCAGGGGAAUGGCAAAUCAUUCUGCAUACAAUACCAGGUCACUGUUGCUGUGAACUUACAGCGAGAUCAUGUACUUGUCUCCACCAAGCUGCAUGUGAGCUGUUCAAAACAGGGUCUUUCUUUUUUCCUUUUUAGAAAAAGAGGUCUGGCCGUGGGGUUAAGAGUGAGCAUGUUCUUGUGUACGGGUGCAGUUCUUCUAAAGAUACAGUGAGAUACUGACCAUUGAUGGCUGAACACAAGUUGAGAGCAGAAAUGAAGUCCGCUAUUUUAUAAAAGUUCUUCGACUGUUAUGUGAGAAAGGACCUGGGAACUAAGCUUAUUAUGUCUGUUUAUAUAUAUAUAUAUAUAUAUAUAUAUUUAAAGAACAUAUGCAGUGUUUUUCAUUAUCCUGCAUUGUGCUGAAAAAAAAAAGUUUAAAAAAAUACAGCAAUGAAAAGGACUCCCAAAUCAGAUACCUCAAGCUCUCUCUCCAGAAUGUUUAAUGCUUAGUUAACCAUCUUGUAUCUAAGUUAUAUACAUUAGCCAAAGAAAAUGAACACACGCACGCACACACACCAUCCAAUUGUCCUUUUUAUAUUUUUAUUCGGUGUUAAGUAACUCCACAAGAAAACAAAAUCAGUUACUCUGGUGUACGUGAAAUCAGAACAAUACAACCACUUGAAGCAAAAAGUAGAAACAAAUUUCAGCCCAGGAAUGGAAAACUGAUACUUCAGUGCUAUGGAUAUGCAAUGCGCUUCAUACCACAGUGCGGUUCAGCGUAUGCCAACCUGUAAUGCUUCUGUUGUUGGUGUUUUGUUGGUUGUUGUUGUGUGUGUUUCUAUCCAUACAGAAAAACUAAAAACCACACUUCAACUCUCACUGAAAGCUUUAGAGCUUUAGCCAUUAAACUAUGAAAACAAGUAAAGACAAUUUGUUAUUGCCCAAGCUCAAGAUACGAUUUUAUUUUCCCCAAAGGUGCUGGAAUUAUUACAUGCCACAAUGUAAUUAUAAGCAACACCUUUGUCAUUUUUGAGCCCUUUCUUACCAAAGAAGCAGCUCUAGCCAAAAUUAACUGAGCUGAAGUUUGUGUUUGAAAUAUGUCCAUUUGGUCAUUUCUUGUUCUCGAAUGAAGUUCUAUUCCAUUCUUCACUGCAGUGAUUUGAAGAAUUUGUGUGUUAAGUUCUUUUUUACUUUCAUGUUACAGUUAACUAGUUCUCAGUGCAGGUGCUAAACAACCUCUCAAGGAAGCUCCAGAAGAGAGUAAAAUAUAUAAAAAUCUACCCAAAGUCUGCAAAUAAAUUAAGGAAAGAAAGUGUAACGUGUCAAAAGAUCUGUUGUAUGAAUACAAACCCUAAAACAUAGUCUAAGAGGAGGACCAAAAGAAAGUCCCCAGGUAAGGACAAACCAAGCCAGUUUUCAGUAAGGAUCUCAACGUAAGCGAUGCGCAAAGAGCGGCAUGGUUCUCCAACCACGGAUUUCAAUUCUUACAUUGUCAACUGAAUAAAGGCAACAAAACCCAGUUACUCAGAAACCCUUACCAGCACAGAACAUAUUUCAAAGGCAGUUCAGCUCACAUUUCACACAGCUAUAGUUUUCAGGAGGUUUAUUGCCUGUCAAAAUUAAUGGUUAAGCUUUUCAAGUUGGUAUUGGACUUCCUGCACUUCCUGAUGUUAUAGACAUGCUGCUAUUGUAUAGACUAGUUAGUUGUUGUUGUUUUUUAAACUAUGAGUUGGUGAAAACUUAGAAUGUUUCGUUUUGCAAAUAUUGCUCCUCCUGGCUUAUACAUUUUGCAUAAUGUCUUACAAGCACAAGGAGUUGAUAGUCUUGUACAGAUGCAACUUGACAAUGUAUUGACUUUCUAAGUUAAGAAAAUAAAAUUUAAAAGCAAGUCACAUAAAGCAACAAUCACUACUGCAAUCACACAUGUAUGUUGUAAGUCGUCGCUUUCCCUGCCCCCACCCACCACACACAUAACUUGCCCCACACAUUCUCUCAGGAACACAAAAUGAACUACGAGAUUUACUAAAUUACAGCCACAACAGCAGCUAACUGCAGCAGCCACAGGAUUUCUUUCAAGUGAAGCACUGACCCUUUGCAUUUCAAACAUUGAACACUCUGAGCAUUUUAGAGAGUUUCAGUCAUUCAGGCUCAAGUUCAGUACAGGAUGCUUUUGCAGGUUACAUGAAUGCCAUCAUCUGCAACAAGACAACACUCUCAUUACUCGGUACAAAAUGCACAACAAUCCACUCACCACCCCAGUGGUUUCUUAUUUUUGGUGUUACUUUUUAAAUGUCUGCCCCACAUUGGCAAGUUGCUAAAAAGGACAAAAAAGAAAAAAAAAAAGAAAAAAAAAAGGAAAAAAAUCACCCACAUUGCCUCCAUACCUACAAAAAAAAUCCU